rnacentral:rRNA from 1 species
UGAGGAAUAUUGGUCAAUGGACGCAAGUCUGAACCAGCCAAGUAGCGUGCAGGAUGACGGCCCUAUGGGUUGUAAACUGCUUUUGUUUGGGAAUAAUCGACAUUACGUGUAAUGUUUUGCAUGUACCAUUCGAAUAAGGACCGGCUAAUUCCGUGCCAGCAGCCGCGGUAAUACGGAAGGUCCAGGCGUUAUCCGGAUUUAUUGGGUUUAAAGGGAGUGUAGGCGGUUGGUUAAGCGUGUUGUGAAAUGUAGAUGCUCAACAUCUGACUUGCAGCGCGAACUGGCUGACUUGAGUACACACGACGUAGGCGGAAUUCAUGGUGUAGCGGUGAAAUGCUUAGAUAUCAUGAAGAACACCGAUUGCGAAGGCAGCUUGCGGGAGUGUUACUGACGCUUAAGCUCGAAGGUGCGGGUAUCGAACAGG